CCCCAUCUCCUGCCCCGCGUCCCAGCCAGCCCCCGGCCACAGCACAGUCCGCUCCAGAUCCGCGCCAGGUUUCCUUCGCAUCGCUGGGGUCUCCGCCCCUCCGAGCGCCGCCGCCGGAGCCGAGCCGGAGCGUAGCUGCGGGAGCCACGCGCACCUCCCGAAUCCCGAAGCACUAGGAGCCCGAGCCCGCGAGCGGGUCUGAGCGGCGGUGCUGACCCCGCCUUCUAUCAGAACUCCGAGUCGGGACCGGACGGCGCGGCCGGGUCCCCGCGCCUCAUCGGAAUUUGACCCUCGGAGCUCCGAGGUGACCCCUCUCUGCGCUGUCGGCCUCGAUCGGCUUCUCAGCAUCCCGGCCCUGGCCCUGGCUCGGGAGAGGAUCAUGAAGCUGGAAGCCAGCAGUGAUGGAGCCACCUCAGAGGUUUCUAAGCCCAAAAAAGACAUGGAGCCAGAUGCAGAGGCUUUCGAAUCCGAGACCCGGGUGCUGAGGAGAGCUCCUUGGGCAGGUCACGGGUCUGGCCUGGCGCCCCGGGGGAAUGACAACGGAGUGCUCAGUGUGUGAGAAGAGGCGAGUCCUUUGAACGGAGAGCCCCGUCGGAGAGCAAACCCCCCCACACACAAUGGCCUCGGUCGCAGAUCGAGAGGGAGUCGGUACACCGGAUCGACGCUGGGGAGACGCCGCUGGCGGAGGGACUGCGCAGUGGCGUCCCCGGAGCGCUGCAAGAGGGUGGCCCGGCUGCUAGAGCCCUUCUGUUCGCAGCUGGUAAGAGACAGCACCUGGGGGAUCAAAGUGGCACAACUCACCAGGGACGAUCAGCUAGGGCCCCAGGAGCUGAAGAAAUUCCGCCUAAUUACCAAGCAGAACAAAGGAGCUCGGAGGGCCGGGCCUCUCCUCAAGGGGCCUCCGGGCUUUGUCCCCCCUUUCCUGCAGUCAGUCACCGCCUUUCUUUCACUGCCCGCUCUGCCCGGUGGAGGCGCCCAUGAGCCCUGCCCUGGGAAUCCCAGUCCUUACCCAGACCUUGUUGUCCAGGGAAAAUCAAACAGCUUCCACUUCCAAUCUUUAAGCCCUGGAUCCUUACUCUGGGAGGCUGGAGACCAGGCGUCCAGGCUUCGUGACCCUGCCUCCCCUACAUGGAUCCCGCCUCAGUCCAGGAACCAAAACAUCCUAAUCUGAGCCUUUGUCCUUUACCUCCGCCUCCCCCAUCCUACCGUGAUCAGGGGCCUACCGCGAUCAGCUUCCCCUGCUUCCACUGUUGACGCCCACAUCCCCAGUUCCCUGACUACUCCACGUCGAUCCCCGCUCUUCUCGGGGAUCCAGGUAUUCGGAGGCGUUGCCCCUGGUUCCUCCAUGCUCUCACAUACCUUACUCCACCCAGCCUCGCACCGUCGGCCCUCCCCAGGGACGCAGAUGGGAGCCCAUGCGUGUGACUGUGGAAGUGAAGAUGCCAAGAGGCGCCAGGCUCUCAGCUCUCCCACCGCCCAGAGCCGUGCUUGCUCGUGCCCCACGCAGGGCAUCCUUUUGGUCCAAUUCAACUCGUAGGCGCUGCUAGGCCUCCGGCGUCUUCUCGCAGCUGCCUGGGGAGGCCGUGUGGAAGGCUGGCAGCGACCUGGCACGCCUUCUGCUGUCGCCCUCCUUGCAGCGUGACAGAAGAAACCAUCCCAGGAGUGGCCGCCCUACUGGCCGAGUGAGAGUAACCUGCGCCUCCUGGCGGCCAAAGGCCUGAAGUGGCGCAUGGACAGCCGCGCGCAACCGCGCGGUGCUCACGCUGUGCAUGCGCCCUUUCCACAUCCCGCACCGCGGCGACAGCACGUGGCGCUACCUCCGCAUCGAUGCCUUCAGCAGCGACGGUGCGCAGAGGCAGAGCUAGCUUCUGUAGCAUCUGCAGCUCCAGAGCCCAUUUCAGUCUCAACGUCGUGUGCCAACUCUUCCCUGCGCCCCAGUUGUGGUCACAACUGGUGGCUGACUUCCACCAGGCUGGCUGGGGGCUUGCACUGGUCAAGGGUUAUACUGAACAGUACUUGCUGGAGGCCGACAACUAAGGCCUCUCCAGUCGAGUUGGAGAGGAGAGAAGAUGCACUUUAGACCCACCUCCUUCCGCGGAUCCCCGCCCCCACCAAGCCCUGGCCCUACUGCUUCAAGUUCCGCCCCUUACCCCUGCUCUUGGUCCUCAGUCUGUUGUUCAGUCGCUGUCAUGUCUGACUCUUUGCGACCCCAUGGACUGCAGCUCGCCAGGCUUCCCUGUCCAUCACCAUCUCCCCAAGCUUGCUCAUAUUCAUGUCCAUCCAUUGAGUCGGUUUUGCCAUCCAACCAUCACGUCCUCUGUCGUCCCCUUCUCCUCCCACCUUCAAUCUUCCCAGAAUCAGGGUCUUUUCCAAUGAGUCGCCCCUGUGCAUCAGGUGGCCAAAGUAUUGGAGCUUCAGCUUCAGCAUCAGUCUUUCCAAUGAACACCCAGGACUGAUCUCCUUUAGAAUGGACUGGUUGGAUCUCCUUGCAGUCCAAGGGACUCUCAAGAGUCUUCUCCGACACCACAGUUCAAAGCAUCAAUUCUUCCUUGCUCUGACGCCUACACUUACCCGCGGUCUGCUCCUCCCUUCCCUAUCCCCCUUACCUCUCUGCCAUCUGGACUCUAGCGCCCCCAAACGCAGUUGCCCACACCCUGAUCUGAACCGCCGAGUUUGGGGGAGCCACUUACUGCUAUUGUCCCCCCAUCCCCUUUCCCGGCCAAAGAAUGAGUUCCUUCACAGCUUCAGAGCCUUUCCCAGUCGAUGCCCCGGCCUAGGAAUGUACUUUGCCCUUUCCGGCUUCUCCCUUCUGCCCCCUCGUGGAGGGAAGCUGUCAGAAGUACGCGCGACGCCCCCGCGCCCAGCCGACAGCUCAAUUCAUACUGUUUUCUUCCUCCCCAUCUUUCUCAGGCCCUCAGAGCUUGCCUCGCGCUCCUGCCUCGCCUAGUCUUAGCCUCCUGUGCCUGGACCUCUCUUAGUUCUCCAUUUCUCAUUGCCGUUCCCCAUGAACCCUUCCUCACCCUCUGUGUGUAAUAUGGAGAAAGACUCUGUAAAGGAAAUAAAUUUAUAAUGCUCCACCUCCAUCUGGCCCCUGCUUAUGCUCUGGCGAUGCACCGUUUUGAGGCUGCCUCCCCUGACUGGGGUUUCCCCCAGCUUUGCAGGAUUUUGCUGGCUCCCUUCCCUAUGCCACCAACCGGGAGCCUGAACCAGGCCUGUGAAUCAGAGAGUUCCGGGUGGGGAGGUCUGGUAUAGCGGAGGGC
ensembl:lncRNA